rnacentral:rRNA from 1 species
GCAGUCGAGCGGUAGCACAGAGAGCUUGCUCUCGGGUGACGAGCGGCGGACGGGUGAGUAAUGUCUGGGAAACUGCCUGAUGGAGGGGGAUAACUACUGGAAACGGUAGCUAAUACCGCAUAACGUCGCAAGACCAAAGUGGGGGACCUUCGGGCCUCAUGCCAUCAGAUGUGCCCAGAUGGGAUUAGCUAGUAGGUGGGGUAACGGCUCACCUAGGCGACGAUCCCUAGCUGGUCUGAGAGGAUGACCAGCCACACUGGAACUGAGACACGGUCCAGACUCCUACGGGAGGCAGCAGUGGGGAAUAUUGCACAAUGGGCGCAAGCCUGAUGCAGCCAUGCCGCGUGUGUGAAGAAGGCCUUCGGGUUGUAAAGCACUUUCAGCGGGGAGGAAGGCGUUAAGGUUAAUAACCUUGUCGAUUGACGUUACCCGCAGAAGAAGCACCGGCUAACUCCGUGCCAGCAGCCGCGGUAAUACGGAGGGUGCAAGCGUUAAUCGGAAUUACUGGGCGUAAAGCGCACGCAGGCGGUCUGUCAAGUCGGAUGUGAAAUCCCCGGGCUCAACCUGGGAACUGCAUUCGAAACUGGCAGGCUAGAGUCUUGUAGAGGGGGGUAGAAUUCCAGGUGUAGCGGUGAAAUGCGUAGAGAUCUGGAGGAAUACCGGUGGCGAAGGCGGCCCCCUGGACAAAGACUGACGCUCAGGUGCGAAAGCGUGGGGAGCAAACAGGAUUAGAUACCCUGGUAGUCCACGCCGUAAACGAUGUCGAUUUGGAGGUUGUGCCCUUGAGGCGUGGCUUCCGGAGCUAACGCGUUAAAUCGACCGCCUGGGGAGUACGGCCGCAAGGUUAAAACUCAAAUGAAUUGACGGGGGCCCGCACAAGCGGUGGAGCAGGUGGUUUAAUUCGAUGCAACGCGAAGAACCUUACCUGGUCUUGACAUCCACAGAACUUUCCAGAGAUGGAUUGGUGCCUUCGGGAACUGUGAGACAGGUGCUGCAUGGCUGUCGUCAGCUCGUGUUGUGAAAUGUUGGGUUAAGUCCCGCAACGAGCGCAACCCUUAUCCUUUGUUGCCAGCGGUCCGGCCGGGAACUCAAAGGAGACUGCCAGUGAUAAACUGGAGGAAGGUGGGGAUGACGUCAAGUCAUCAUGGCCCUUACGACCAGGGCUACACACGUGCUACAAUGGCAUAUACAAAGAGAAGCGACCUCGCGAGAGCAAGCGGACCUCAUAAAGUAUGUCGUAGUCCGGAUUGGAGUCUGCAACUCGACUCCAUGAAGUCGGAAUCGCUAGUAAUCGUAGAUCAGAAUGCUACGGUGAAUACGUUCCCGGGCCUUGUACACACCGCCCGUCACACCAUGGGAGUGGGUUGCAAAAGAAGUAGGUAG